UACAGAGGUCCCAAGCGUUGUUCGGAUUCACUGGGCGUAAAGGGUGCGUAGGUGGCGAGGUAAGUCGGAUGUGAAAGCUCGGAGCUCAACUCCGAAAUGGCAUUGGAAACUACCUGGCUUGAGGGUUGGAAGGGGGACUGGAAUUCUCGGUGUAGCAGUGAAAUGCGUAGAUAUCGAGAGGAACACCAGUGGCGAAGGCGGUUCUCUGGGCCUUACCUGACGCUGAGGAGCGAAAGCGUGGGGGAGCGAACAGG
rnacentral:rRNA from 1 species